rnacentral:lncRNA from 1 species
CGAGAAACGAUGUCGGAAAGUUACCCAAACAUCCACAAGAUGAGAAUCGGACCACCGGAAUGUGGUAAAACACUAAAACAAAGUCACUGAAAACCCUAAUCCCCGACAACUCACCAAAACCACCACAAAAGCGAUCAAAAUGUUGUUAAACGCUGAGGUUGAGAAGAUACACUCGGAUAUAAUGGUAGAAAACACUUUGAACCAUAUCCGAUGAAGAUCGGAAUCAUCACAGACCGUGUGGUCUCAGAAAAACCCUCAAAAAUCGUCGAACAAGAGCUCAAAAUCGACACCGGCAUGCAGAUAAACAUGAUCGGAUCGAUGUUAGGCUCUGAUACCAUGUAAAUGUUGAGAUUAUACGAGAGAAAUCACAGAAAAUUAGAGAGAGAAAGUAGAGAGAAGGAGGAGAAGAUUGAGAGAAACGANNN